CCUACGUGAGGCAGCAGUGAGGAAUAUUGGUCAAUGGGCGCGAGCCUGAACCAGCCAAGUAGCGUGAAGGAUGACUGCCCUACGGGUUGUAAACUUCUUUUAUAAAGGAAUAAAGUGAGGCACGUGUGCCUUUUUGUAUGUACUUUAUGAAUAAGGAUCGGCUAACUCCGUGCCAGCAGCCGCGGUAAUACGGAGGAUCCGAGCGUUAUCCGUAUUUAUUGGGUUUAAAGGGAGCGUAGAUGGGUUGUUAAGUCAGGUGUGAAAGUUUGCGGCUCAACCGUAAAAUUGCAAUUGAUACUGGCAGUCUUGAGUACAGUUGAGGUAGGCGGAAUUCGUGGUGUAGCGGUGAAAUGCUUAGAUAUCACGAAGAACUCCGAUUGCGAAGGCAGCUUACUAAACUGCCACUGACAUUGAUGCUCGAAAGUGUGGGUAUCAAACAGGAUUAGAUACCCCAGUAGUC
rnacentral:rRNA from 1 species